UACGAAGGGGGCUAGCGUUGCUCGGAAUCACUGGGCGUAAAGGGUGCGUAGGCGGGUCUUUAAGUCAGGGGGGAAAUCCUGGAGCUCAACUCCAGAACUGCCUUUGAUACUGAGGAUCUUGAGUUCGGGAGAGGUGAGUGGAACUGCGAGUGUAGAGGUGAAAUUCGUAGAUAUUCGCAAGAACACCAGUGGCGAAGGCGGCUCACUGGCCCGAUACUGACGCUGAGACACGAAAGCGUGGGGAGCAAACAGG
rnacentral:rRNA from 1 species